CAUCCUGUUAAAGAAAAGAACCAAUAUAAAUAUUAAAUAGCUACCGUAAUUUACUCUAUUGAAAGUAGACUUAGUAGAGUAAAUACCACAGAAAUAUGCAUACACGCCCUGGUAUAGGUUAUGAUACCCAUGAAUAUUCAGGGUACACGCAGUAGCAUGUAAACUGUGUGACAGUAGUGGUUCAAAUAAAAAAAUGGCACUAAAGCAUAACAAGCAUUUUUCCAAAAAAAUCUCUGGUUUUAAAGAAAAGAAGCCUCUGCUAACUACCAUAUUUACUGUAUUGAAAAAUAACAUAUCGUAAGGCUUCCCAAUGUGGCAUCUAAUUCCUCGUGAGUAGAUGCUGGACUAGGAAGGUUCACGAGCUUAGAUUUUGAGGUAUUGUUCUCUUUUUGCAUAUUCCGUAGAAACCAUAUCUAGAACCUUAGAAACCAAAUCCUCCAACCGAGUAAUUCUUCUGCUGAUAUCACCAACUUGCAUUAAAAGCAUUGAUUUUUCUUUAUUUGACGGAGAGGGAAACAGCAGUUUCUUGUUUUUAGCAGGUGGACUUUGUGGUGUCUUAAAACUAAGUUUGGGGCGAAAUAUGGUGCCAAGCCUAUUUAAUAUAACAAAAGUUGCUUCACCUGGGUUGCAGAAUCACACUUUAAGUUCUGCGCAAUGAUGGUGGUGUAAUCAAUACACUCGGACUCGGAUGAUUCUGAUGACAAUGAUUUUUCUUUAUUUGACGGAGAGGGAAACAGCAGUUUCUUGUUUUUAGCAGGUGGACUUUGUGGUGUCUUAAAACUAAGUUUGGGGCGAAAUAUGGUGCCAAGCCUAUUUAAUAUAACAAAAGUUGCUUCACCUGGGUUGCAGAAUCACACUUUAAGUUCUGCGCAAUGAUGGUGGUGUAACCAAUACACUCGGACUCGGAUGAUUCUGAUGACAAUUCUUUUCUAUCAUAUGCAUUUAUUUAACAUUUCCCAUAUGUAUCAAAAAACACCAUUUUGCAUACAUCACAUUACCUACUUUUACAAUAUCACAAACAUUAGCUAUAUUAUGGUUAAACUGUAUGAUGGUAUUGUUGGCUGGGGAAUUAACUUUGAUUACAGCAUUUGAAAAUAGACGAAUAUCGUCUUUAUACGUGUAAACGUCACACACGCGCUACGUCACACACGGCAUUGUUCGCCCGUGAAUGCCACGUGGUGUGAUGCAACCACAAAUUCACCAGUCGUUAUUUUAAUGCGUGUAGUGUACUGUUAUUUCGUUCAUUGUGUUUUCCUUAACUAAUUCAUUCCGCAGAGUUGCUCCAAUCAUUCAUUAAGUUAAAUAUAAAUAAACGAACUUUGAAAUAGGUUGUACCUUAUCGUCUAUGAUUGGAGCCUACUUAUUAUGCCGUCAGUAAAAUGCCCAUACCCAGACUGUGGGUACAAAACUGAAGACGUGACAGAUGACCUGCUUGUCGUUCUCCUGAAAAUCCACGCGGAAAGCCACUCUAGUGGCCAGGCACAGCCAAUGAACGCCGCAAAGACGGAAAAAGUAAAGAGACCAAGUAUCAAAUCUGCCGGCACCACAGAGGAAUGGAAUUACUUCACCACCAGAUGGGAGGAAUAUGUCACAUCAACGGGCGUCAGGGGUUCAGACAAAGUAAUCCAGCUUUUGGAAUGUUGCGACGAAGAACUCCGCAGGGACCUAACACGGAACGCUGGCGGAUCUCUAAGCAAUAAGAAUGAAAAGGACGUUCUUGUGGCCAUACACCAACUCGCAGUAAGAAA